CUCCGCUUGGUGUAGUUGGUUUAUCACGUCGGGCUGUAAUUGAACAUCAUACCUGAAGGUCCGCGGUUCGAUUCCGCGAGCGGAGA
rnacentral:tRNA from 1 species